rnacentral:sRNA from 1 species
UGCACAAUUUGAUACGGCUCCUCAAGGGUGGUCUACGGCUCACUCCCUGUAAGAAAGGGGGUGGAGUUUAUGACAGUAUUCGAAUCAUUAAUGUUGAUGAUUGCAUUCGCAACACUAAUUGUAGCUAUACUGUCGUUUAACCAAAAGAAAUAGGCCCCCUUGAGUUUGGACGACCAGGGAACCUAUUUCUAUGACCUGUAAUUAGUCUGAGCCGUCCCCCUAGAGGGAACGUUUAUUGUGCAUGACCGUUUGGUGUUACCAGCACCGAGC